rnacentral:rRNA from 1 species
AGUAACGCGUGGGUAACCUGCCCUUAAGUCUGGGAUACCAUUUGGAAACAGAUGCUAAUACCGGAUAAAAGCUACUUUCGCAUGAAAGAAGUUUAAAAGGCGGCGUAAGCUGUCGCUAAAGGAUGGACCUGCGAUGCAUUAGCUAGUUGGUAAGGUAACGGCUUACCAAGGCGAUGAUGCAUAGCCGAGUUGAGAGACUGAUCGGCCACAUUGGGACUGAGACACGGCCCAAACUCCUACGGGAGGCAGCAGC